rnacentral:lncRNA from 1 species
UCCUCUGGCCGCCGGCCCGUCGGCCCUGCAAAGUUUAACGCCAAUUCCCCUUGCGUCCUGGGAGCCGAGCGUUUUCUCUCCCUGCUGACGCUCCCAGCAGCUCUGCCUGGCCAGGCCAGGCUGGAGAGCACCCGGACCAUUUUCCAGACGGUGAGAUGGAGCCCUGGAAACCGAGCUUAUGAGCAGCCCGGAGCUUUCCAUUGCCUGCCCAGCCUUCCAGAUACAUCCCAGUUCCAGUUCUUUCCAGAGCCCUCUGGGAUCCAGCCAGCCUGCUUCCCCGCCAGGGCCUCACUGCUUCCAAACCUACUUCCCAGAAAUUUGGUGGCUGCCUCUGUGCUAUGAUUUGGUUGCUACCUGCUGAAGCUUCAACCUCUCAUCACUACCAGAAGGACCACAUCACUAAAAGUCCAUCAAUGGGGUUACUCACUUUGAUGGGCCUGUGCAGCGUCAUUCAGGAAGCCCGUGGUACUCACAUCACUCUGGCCAGACGCUAACAAGAAAAUGAUCCACUGUGACGCAGCCGACCCCAUCCAGUGCAUCCACAUUACCUGGAAAGAAGCAAUUAUGCCCCUUUGGUUUCCUUGGAAAUGCUUGGUCUGUCUCUACCAUCCGCCCUGGCUCUUGAGAAAUACUCAUGCACGGUAGAGCUUUGACAGGGAGACAGUGUGUUUAUUUUCCAACUGAAAGUUUACAGAAUACAAAGUGAGCCUGUAAGAUGGUGGCCACUCUCCAGAGGCUUGUUGGUCAGACAGGAAAGAAAACCAGUGCACCAUCGGGAACGUGGAGGAGGCUGAAAGAGAGGGACAAACAUAUUGGAUUGGAUUGGGCCCCCACAGUCAAGUUCCUGCAAACCAAGCUGGGAGAUUUUCCUGACUAAGGGUUAUGUUCUUGGGCCUCAAAGCUCCCCAGCCAACGCCCAGCUUCUGUGCCGAGGAGGAUACAGGAGGACAGACACAGCCUCUGUGUCAGGAGGAGGGAAGAAGGACUAAUGUCUGUGGACACUCUGAGGCUCACAGGGAGAAGCCACACACUCGCAGCACCAGAUGAGUAAACAGAGGCUUGGAGGGGUGAUGAAAUUUGCCAACAGUCAUCAAUCGUUCCAGGAACAGGUGAUGCUUCCCGGCAGUGAGACUCGAAACCAGCGGGAGUUCCCAGCCAGAGACAUGAUCUAAGUGCCAAUGGCUGAAUGUCUGUGAGCAUUUCAAGUCAUUUUAAGAAUAGGCAACAUUAGCGGCACCAUUAAAGCCUGCUGUUCCUCCAGCCCAUCACUGCCAUCCCCACCUAUUAAAAUAAUGGCAUGAAAAAUAAACAGCCUUUAUGUACAAUUUUA